GUUCUUGUUUAGUAGCAGUAUCGUAGCCAACGAGGUUAAUUCGAGGCACAAUUAUUGCUAAUUGAAAACUUUUCUUAAUGACUUUCCCACAGAAGUGUAAGAAUGCUGGAUGAAAAAAAAAAUGCUUAUGGCAGAGGCUA
rnacentral:snRNA from 1 species